CCUACGGGGGGCAGCAGUCGAGAAUCAUUCACAAUGGGGGAAACCCUGAUGGUGCGACGCCGCGUGGGGGAAUGAAGGUCUUCGGAUUGUAAACCCCUGUCAUGUGGGAGCAAAUCAAAAAGAUAGUACCACAAGAGGAAGAGACGGCUAACUCUGUGCCAGCAGCCGCGGUAAUACAGAGGUCUCAAGCGUUGUUCGGAAUCACUGGGCGUAAAGUGUGCGUAGGCUGUUUCGUAAGUCGUGUGUGAAAGGCGCGGGCUCAACCCGCGGACGGCACAUGAUACUGCGAGACUAGAGUAAUGGAGGGGGAACCGGAAUUCUCGGUGUAGCAGUGAAAUGCGUAGAUAUCGAGAGGAACACUCGUGGCGAAGGCGGGUUCCUGGACAUUAACUGACGCUGAGGCACGAAGGCCAGGGGAGCGAAAGGGAUUAGAUACCCUAGUAGUC
rnacentral:rRNA from 1 species